UACGUAGGGGGCAAGCGUUGUCCGGAAUUAUUGGGCGUAAAGAGCGUGUAGGCGGUCCGGUAAGUCAGCUGUGAAAGUCAAGGGCUCAACCCUUGAAAGCCGGUUGAUACUGUCGGGCUAGAGUCCGGAAGAGGCGAGUGGAAUUCCCGGUGUAGCGGUGAAAUGCGCAGAUAUCGGGAGGAACACCAAUGGCGAAGGCAGCUCGCUGGGACGGUACUGACGCUGAGACGCGAAGGCGUGGGGAGCAAACAGG
rnacentral:rRNA from 1 species